rnacentral:rRNA from 1 species
GCGCACCAGGCGCGAAACCUCCGCAAUACACGAAAGUGUGACGGGGCCAUCCCGAGUGCCGUCCGCUGAGGACGGCUUUUCCCCAGUGUACACAGCUGGGGGAAUAAGGAGAGGGCAAGCCUGGUGUCAGCCGCCGCGGUAAUACCAGCUCUCCGAGUGGUGGGGACGCUUAUUGGGCCUAAAGCAUCCGUAGCCGGCUGGGCAAGUCCUCCGUUAAAUCCAACGAUUCAAUCGUUGGGCUGCGGGGGAUACUGUCCAGCUUGGGGGCGGGAGAGGCCGACGGUAUUCCCGGGGUAGGGGUGAAAUCCUAUAAUCCCGGGAGGACCACCAGUGGCGAAGGCUGUCGGCUAGAACGCGCCCGACGGUGAGGGAUGAAAGCUGGGGGAGCGAACCGGAUUAGGAUACCCGCGUAGUCCCUGGACUGCCAAGGCAC